ACUUUGAAAAGAGAGGCAAUUCUUGCCAGGAAUUGUGACCACAGUCUGUUGCAACUAGGAAUCUUUGCCCUGUGCAUUUAUUCUAAUGAGGCAUAGGCCAAUCAGUAUCAAAAGUCAAGUAUGACAUGAGAGAUUUUGCAGAAAGAGCAAGAAGAAAAACAUAGUGGAAAUUCUGGACUUGGAGUCAGCAGAUCUGGAUUCUAAUCCCAUGACUUCCAUUUACCACCUAAAUCACCUUAGGCAAUGAAUGAAGAAAUUAAAAUUAAAUUAAUCAAUUUAUUUUAAAGGUUAUUAAGUAUCAGCUAUCUGCCAGAUCCUACAGUUGGUGCCAGGGAGACAGUUUCAGACCUCAAGGAGCUUUCAUAAUGAAAAGGGAUGUGACACAUAAAGAGAAAGGAGUGGGUGACCUCCUGAUUCCUCAAUAUCAUUUAAAAGCUCCAUAUGCCAAGACUCAAAUAAAUGAAUGACCCCAACCAUAUCCAGGAUCAAAUAGAAAAUCUUCUGCUUGGCUUUUUAAGCCCUUCAUAGCCUGGCCCCAUCCUGUCUUUCCAGACUUCUUAAAUUUUACUCUCACCUAUAUACACAUUGAUCCAAGUUACUCUGGACUCCUGAGUGUUCCAUCACACACAAGAUAUGCUGGGACAUUCAUUUCUGGGAAUUGUCACUAACUGUCUCCGAUGCCUAGAAUGUUCUCCCUCCUCAUCUUUACAACAUCACUUUGCUUCAGUUCUCAGCAGAAGCCCCUUCCUCUCCAAGAGGCCUUUCCCAGUUCCCAUCAAUGCUAAGGCCUUCCCUGUGGAUCAUGUCCAACUGAUCCUGGAUAUAUUUUGUUUGUGUGUGGUUGUUUGAUGAAGAGAUAGUGUGCAGAAGAGGCGGAGGGCCAACUGAUGAUCAGAAGGGAUAAGGCAUUCUUUGACCCCUGAGCUCAGAUCCAAUCACUCACCACCCAGCAGCAGGAAGGAAAACUCUAGGGAAGCUGUUACCAAUUCAGCAUUCCUGGCUCAUGCUGGUACAUGUGCAACACUUGUCAAAGAGAACAUUAGAGACGUGUCUUACACCAAAUUCAAAUCUUGUAGCUGAGUGCAAGGAAUGUUUCAUCUUGGUUUCUCUCAAGUGAAAGCAGACCAAUGACUGGGUUUGGCAGUAGCGGGGGUCUGCUUGCAACAAACCAUCCACAUUCUCUUACCCAGAGACAAUACAGGUAAAAGAGCUGGACCAUGUAGAAGAAGGAACAAUGGCGCCUUUUACUUUGGGGACAGGAAGACCCCAAUAUAGGAGUCAGCCCUUGAGCUGAGCUCAGAAGGGGACUAAGGAUUCUACAGGGUAGAGAUGAGGGAGGCAAAGAACACUGCAGGCAUGGGGAACAACAUGUUCAAAGGUAGAGUUAGAGAAAACAGAUGGAAUGGAGAUGUAAGAUAAACAGCAAAAAGGCUGGUUUGCCUAGAACAAAGAGUGCGAAGUAAGAGAAUAACAUUCAAUCAAGAAAAAUGAAUUUAAACUUGAAAAGAGCUCUAAAUGCCCAAGGGGGAGGGAGAUUGUAUUUUAUCCUAAUAGGAAGUGGGAGCCACUGUGGCUUCUUCAGCAGAGGAGAAUCACACUCUGGCCAUUGCUUUCAGGAUACCAAUUUGGCAGCUCUGUGGAAGAUGCUUGAUACUUUCCUACCAUUCUAAUCAUCUUAUAUACUUGAUGUUGAUGUGAUUAUGGUUGUGAUUGCUGUUUUGGGGGAAGCUAGGUGGGGGGAUAGAUAGAGAAUUGGACCUGAAGUCUUCUAGAGUUCAAAUCUAGCCUCAAACACUUAAUAGUUGUGUGGCAAUGGGCAAAUCACUUAACCCUGUUUGCCUCAGUUUUC
ensembl:lncRNA